UGCCGCGUGCGGGAAGAAGGCCUUCGGGUUGUAAACCGCUUUUGUCAGGGAAGAAAAGGUUCUGGAUAAUACCUGGGACUCAUGACGGUACCUGAAGAAUAAGCACCGGCUAACUACGUGCCAGCAGCCGCGGUAAUACGUAGGGUGCAAGCGUUAAUCGGAAUUACUGGGCGUAAAGCGUGCGCAGGCGGUUAUGCAAGACAGAGGUGAAAUCCCCGGGCUCAACCUGGGAACUGCCUUUGUGACUGCAUAGCUAGAGUACGGUAGAGGGGGAUGGAAUUCCGCGUGUAGCAGUGAAAUGCGUAGAUAUGCGGAGGAACACCGAUGGCGAAGGCAAUCCCCUGGACCUGUACUGACGCUCAUGCACGAAAGCGUGGGGAGCAAACAGGAUUAGAUACCCUGGUAGUCCACGCCCUAAACGAUGUCAACUGGUUGUUGGGAGGGUUUCUUCUCAGUAACGAAGCUAA
rnacentral:rRNA from 1 species